ensembl:lncRNA
GCAUUAGUGACUCCAUUUUGGACCUGUUUCCUUGUUUUCAACAAUUGGUUUAAAGUAUGUAAGAUUAUUGCAUUUAAAUUUGAGUUAUGGCGUUCCCAUCAUGGCACAGUGGAAGCGAAUCCGACUAGGAACCAUGAGGUUAUGAAUUCGAUCCCUGACCUUGCUCAGUGGGUUAAGGAUCCAGCGUUUCGGUGAGCUGUGUGUAAGGUCACAGACGUGGCUCUGAUCUGGCAUUGCUGUGGCUCUGGCAUAGGCUGGCAGCUACAGCUCCUAUUCGAUCCCUAGCCUGGGAACCUCCAUAUGCCUCAGGUGCUGCCCUAAAAAGGAAAAAAAAAGAAAGAAAAAAAUUGAGUUGUUUACUCUGAAAACCCUUACCUCAUUUAAAAAAAAAAAAAAAAAAAGUGAAGAACAGGAAAAAAAUGUGACUGGUUUGGCUCUAUGGACCUGGAAUAUCAAAGAAAAGGGAACUUUCUCUGAAAGAUUUAGGAAUCCUAGAGAUUGUUUUUUCUUAAAUCUCCCAUUCAAGAAGGAAAACAGUUUAGCCCUUUCUAAUAGAUUAUUGCUACAAAUCACAGUUUGUAGACAUCUAAGGGAUUCUGCCGAUAUUUACUCCUGCCUUCAUCUUUAAAACCAAAGCCAUCAUCCAUAUUGUGCAAACCUGAAUGGAUUAGAAACCUAAAUACAUAGAAUAAGAUCUUGGAGAUUAUAAUUAGGAGAAACACCUAUCAAAAUGAAAAGCUUUAAAUUUUUUUUGGCCUUGCCCAUGUCAUGUAGAAGUUCCUGGGCCAGGGAUUGAACCCAUACCACAGCAGCCACCCGAGCCAUUGCAAUGACAAUGCCAGAUUUUCCCUUGUACCACAAGGGAACAGGAAGUUUUCAUUUUUAUUUAGAGGAAGUUGGGAGAAUAUGACAGAGAAAAGAAAUGAACUUUGAACAAUUAUUAAUUCAUAUAACAAACAUUUAAGUGCUUUUUAUGUUCCAGGCACUGUGCUAUGCUCUGUGCAUUCAGGGAUAUAAUAAUAGGUUUGUAGACUAAAUAGUAAAAUAAUGUUUAGAUUUAUAUGUGUCUAGGUUUUAUAGAAAGAGAAUAGCAAAUUUUGUAAAUUGAAGCCAAUGGCUUAUGGAACACCAAGUUUUAAAAGUUGUAUGAAUAAAUAUUAUUUUAAACCCAAAUAGCUAUAAUAAGCCAUCUUUAGUGCUAAAUUUUAUUAUGGACCCAAAAAAUUACAUUGAGUGACUUUUUGAGUAGGGUGAUGACAAUGGAGAGGAAGAGGGAAUAUAUGAGAGAUUUUCCUAGCAGCCAGAAUGAACAGGAUUUGAGGCAAGAUUAGAAAGGGGGAUAGUUUUUAGUGUUAUUUUAUUGUCAUUUAGAUAUACCAUAAGCAAAUCAACCCCACUAGAAAUAUUCAUUGGGAGUUGUCAGUAUAAAUGAAGCUGCUGGUUUGAAUGAGAUUGCUAGAACCAAAUUUAAAUGAGAAGAGAAGGCCUAGAAAAAAGGCUUGAGGUCCUACAACACUGAAUGGCCUGCAGAAGAAAAUGAACUUGCAAGGAGAGAAAAGAGCAGUAAGAAAGUUAAGAGCAAAUUAAGGAGAGCCAACAAUGUUUCUGGAAGGAAGUAGGGAGCCUCAAACAGUAUAAAGCCCUUACUAAAGUCAGUAUUUGCUCAUCAAGCAAGAUGAGAACAAGAAAAUAUGUCUUAGAUUUAUCGAUGCGGGAAGGCUUCAGUAUUCUUUUUUUUUUUUUUUUUUUGGUCUUUUUGCCUUUUCUAGGCCCGCUCCCACGGCAUAUGGAGGUUCCCAGGCUAGGGGUCUAAUCGGAGCUGUAGCCACCGGCCUGCUCCAGAGCCACAGCAAUGCGGGAUCCUUAACCCACUGAUGGAGGCCAAAGAUUGAACCCGAAAGCUCAUGGUUCCUAGUCGGAUUCGUUAACCACUGCGCCACGACGGGAACUCCAAGGCUUCAGUAUUCUUAGCCACGAUUGUUUGGGGUAGUGAUAGCAGACACCCGAAUGAAGCAGAGGUGAAGAAAUGGAGAUGGAAGUACAAAAGAAGUUUGAUUUUGUAGGUGAAAAAAGGAUAAGGUAGUAAAAGAAGUAUAGGUCAGAAGUGAAUGUUGUUUUGCAGGGUUUGCAUUAGAUUAGGUGAGAGUAGAACACGUUGAAAUGAUGUUGGGAAGAAUUCAGGUGAUAAAGACUUAAUUGAAUAAAGCUGAAGAAAAAUAGGCACAAUUGAUGUGUGGGUUCCUAGAAGGGUGAAAGCGAGAGGCAUGGAAGCUCAGAGGCAGAGAUUAGCUUGGGAUAGGAGAGAGCUCCUCCACCUUUCUUAUGAUAAAUGAAUCACAAAGCAUCUUGUUCUGGUCUGAUCGUAUAGCACCUAUAGUACUUAAUACAAAGUAGCACUGACAGAAUGUCAGCCUGCUUCUCUGACCAGAAUUUCUGAGGCAGAACUAUCUAAACUGGUGGAAUGAAACUGAAUUUGACAGAAAAGAGAAGGAAGGACCCCCUCCCAUUGCUGGGAAAGGAUGUUCAAAAGAAGCCCUCUUAGCUCUAAAGAGCACAUUAUUAAGAGCUGGGAGAGGAGCUGGCAGGGGACCAUUGUUCUGAUUACCAAUAAAUGAAGGAACUCAUUUUAUUGUCUGUGCCCCUCAAUUCUUAGAGCUUGAACAUACUUUUCUUCUGAUAUGCAAUGAGGUCGAGUUAAUGUCAAAGGAUCCCACCCCACAGCUGCCUUUGCAUUUGAAAGAAACAAAAAAUCAUGAACCUUGGAUGUCAAUAAGCCUAGGGUGGCAAAAGGAAAAGGAUUUGAAGUCAAGUACCAUAAAGAAGUGGUGCCCAUUUGUGUAACCUGUGAUUAAGGUGCUAUUCAUCAUCAAGAUUAAAGGAAGAAGUUUAUUACAUUGAGUAGAUACAAGAGAACUUCAGGAACUGGAGCUACCAGUUAUUUUCAAGGAAAAACAAAGAGGUGAAUUUUAUCACCAUGAUCUCUGCUUCAUUCUUUUAUCUAACAAGAAAAAUUGAUCCAUUGGAGGCACAGCUCAAAGAUUGGUUUUUGCUGCAGUGAGGCAUUUCUUAGGUUAGCUUUGUCUUAGUCUGUAUUCACUAUUAAGUCCGUGCUAACCAAUUUUUAUGUCUCUCCUACAUACAGGUUGCGUUUGGAUAACACUUCUGUGAUGGAAUAAAAAUAAUAAUCGCAAUAUUUAUGUUGACACAGAACAGACCAAUAAACCUCUAAAU